UGUGACAAAGCAAAAAUACGAUUGACGACCGUAUACAUAUACAUAGAUAAGGGAUCUUGUAGUAAUCGUAAAAUUUUUUCGUAUAACACUGAAUAUCCUCGUGAUUACAACUUGACACAUUUUCCGUGUCGAUAAAAUGAUUUAUUGACAAACAAUGAUGAAAACAAAAUUAAGAGAUCAGAAAACAGGGAGGUAUCAUGGGUUGGAUAAAUAAAUCAAAUAAUAAUAUUUUGGUGUAAAAUUCUGUAAUUAUCUUGUCAAGAACAAAUUACAUGAUUUCGCAUACUUA